GAGGGUAUAGCUUAGUGGUAGAGUGCGUGCUUAGCAUACACAAGGUCUGGGGUUCAAUUCCCAGUACCUCCG
rnacentral:tRNA from 1 species